rnacentral:rRNA from 1 species
AACGUAGGAGGCGAGCGUUAUCCGGAUUUACUGGGCGUAAAGCGCACGCAGGCGGCUUCGUGAGUCGGAUGUGAAAGCUCCUGGCUUAACUGGGAGAGGCCAUUCGAGACUGCGAGGCUUGAGGUUGGGAGAGGGGUGUGGAAUUCCCGGUGUAGUGGUGGAAUGCGUAGAUAUCGGGAGGAACACCAGUGGCGAAGGCGGCACCCUGGCCCACACCUGACGCUGAGGUGCGAAAGCGUGGGUAG